UACGUAGGGUGCGAGCGUUGUCCGGAAUUAUUGGGCGUAAAGAGCGUGUAGGCGGCCAGAUAGGUCCGUUGUGAAAACUGGAGGCUUAACCUCCAGCGGUCGAUGGAAACCAUCUGGCUAGAGUCCGGAAGAGGAGAGUGGAAUUCCUGGUGUAGCGGUGAAAUGCGCAGAUAUCAGGAAGAACACCCGUGGCGAAGGCGGCUCUCUGGGACGGUACUGACGCUGAGACGCGAAAGCGUGGGGAGCGAACAGG
rnacentral:rRNA from 1 species